GGGCCCGUGGCGCAGUUGGACAGCGCGUCGGGUUUCGGACCCGAAGGUCGGGGGUUCGAAUCCCCCCGGGCCCA
rnacentral:tRNA from 1 species